UGAAGUAGAAAAAGUAUGGAAGAACAAAUUCAAAUGUUAAAGCAAACGGUGGGCAUGUUAUGCUGAAAAGGCUCAAGGGACAAACUAGGGUACUAGCUAUUUCGUGAGUUCCUCAGGCACUAAUAAAGGCACAUGCCCAAUAAAGAAAGUCAAUAGCGACGUUAGGAGAGCCUAGCAGUCUAUUGACUUUCUUUGUAGUGUCUAUUGUAAAGGAUUGAACUUUAUUCAUCCCUGUUUUUUUUUAUGAC
rnacentral:sRNA from 1 species